UGAUAUUGAUCCGCUGCUACAUCCGCUGAAAGAUCUGUUGCCAGUUCUGAUCGAUGGGGAUAGGCAUGAAGGCCAAUCAUUCCGGUUAUCUGAGUUUCCCUCGACAAUGCCGGAGAUGUUCUCAGAUGCUCUUAGAUCGGGGGUUGAGGUG
rnacentral:misc_RNA from 1 species